CCCAAAACAUCGAAAUUGCCAACUCGCAUUUUUUCAGAGCUCUAACCAGUUCUCGGUAAAACAGCUUACAAUGGUAUUUCAACUCCCCACUUGUAGGAUAUGCCAUUGAUGUGAUACCACUCCGAAGACAUCUUAUUCAACAUUUGAAGACUUUUAGAACCUCAAAAAGGACAUUUUUAUCUUUUACCUUUUUGCUUAUCACAAUAUUGUAUUUAUUUUGUUCAAUGCAAUGGAUUGGCUGAUAUCAAUUUUGUUGAUAUAAGCCGAGGAGGCGGGGUCAGUGCUAGCAGACCACACGCAGCGCCGGAAACAAGCUACGU